GUGGAGAAAGACACAGGGGAGCAAUGUCAGUAUUAAAGGAGUAAUCUGGGAUUGGUACAUCGAGGUCUACAUCAACAGUAUUUCUUGUUAGGAGGACCUUGAACAUGGGUACAUCAAGAAUUAAUCUCUUAGCUGAGUAGUUUUGAUAACUCUUGGGGAUUUUUUAAUAUAUUUUUUAUUCAGACAGUGAAUUGCUGUGUACCAAUAGUAUCCAAUUUCUCCUGAAGUGUUCACAACUUCCCACAAGCAUUAGAUAGGUGGCGGCAUGGGCUAGUGCCAUUUCCACCAUAUUUCUUUCAAAUCAGUGAAGGGAAGUGAACAACUGCACACUUUAGGAGGAAGGAGAGAUAAGUAGAUAAUAUAAUUGGAACAUACUGUAGCCCUUGUCAACGACCGCAGCAAGUGACAUCAGAUUGGAGGAGCCGUUUGAAACCACAAGGCCCACGUGAUGGUGUUGCACUCAUAUCUUUAUCUCUUUUCCAACUGAAUAAAAAUAUCUUCAGGUUCAAUAGAGGACACAUCAGAAUCAUCAUAGAAAUGUCUCUAGUAUCUGUUGUCAUUAUUUACUUACUUUAUUUAAUUGCAGUGGCAGGGCAGAAAUUGGACCAGGAGAUUUCAUGGACUAAGAAAAAGGGAGAGGCUGUGUCCUUCAGCUGCAAAUACAAUGAUCAGUGUGGAUCGUAUGUCUUCUGGUACCAGAAGAAAGACAGAGAACCCUUUACCUUGAUUCUCGACAUCGCAAAGAGUACCUGCGCCGUUGAUGCAAGCUACAACCAUCCUCAAAAAUAUGAUUUCUCAUCCGUGAGAAAUAACAGAUGUGAUCUGAAGAUCCAGUUAGUUAAAGUCUCUCAUUCUGCCACCUACUACUGUGCCUGCUAUCUUUCUAGGAGCCCACAGUGAGAACUGAUCCACACACCCUGUACACAAACUCUGUGGUUAUAAUCAAGCUCUGAACUAAUGGAGGAGAAAAAACAAGUUAUUUUUGAACAGUAGGGAGGAACUGUUUGAAAUGACACUCCCAGCUGGUGUUUCACCUCUGAUCUUCAUUAUCGACGAGGCUGCUUCAGGACAGUGGCUGCAACAGGACCAAAUAUCAGAGACUAGGAGAGAGAGACAUACAGUGG